AAUGUUCAUCUUGAACCCUGCCUGUCUUUUUAUUACAAUUGGCAACUAUGGGCAAUUAAAUGUCAAGAGUGAUGUGUACAGCUUUGGUGUUCUGCUGCUUGAGCUUCUGACUGGGAAAAAAACCUAUUGAUCAUACUUUACCCCAUGGACAACGAAGUCUUGUGACAUGGACAAGAUUAGGCAGUUUGUUGAUCAAAGACUAGGUGGAGAAUGCUCCCAAGGUUGUUGCGAAGAUUGCAGAUGGCAGCUGUUUCUGAAUUGUGUGUGCAAUUUGAAGCUGAUUUUCGGCCAACUAUGAGCACUGUUGUCAAAGCUCUUCAGCCUCUGUUAAAUGCUUGACCUGGACCUUCAGGUGAAACACCAAUCACCUCUCUCUCUCACACACACACACGCACACACUCAUUUCCUCUCUCUUUCUAUCUCUCUGAGCCUGUGUGUGCGGAUGUGCACCCACUUUGAAGCAUUCAAAAUAUAUAAUGAGGGUACAAACUCUAGAAAGUGAUGACAAUUUGUUUAUUCAAAGUUCCAUAUGCAUGCAUUAUAUACUUUGUGUUCAAUUUGUUAAUAAUGUGUAAACUUUUUCUUUCUUUGCAUAUUUUCUUUUUCUAAAUUAUUCCUAACCUUUCUUCCUCUUAUCCUCAUCUUGUCCUUUACUUUAGUAAAUGGUUUCGCACCUUUGGUUGCUUGGAUUACAAGAAAAUCGUGUAGAAAGAGAAAGAAUAAGGCAUAUAGAAACUUCGUUCAGCGGGUUAGGUUGGUGAGUAUUAGAAGAAAGGGAAGAUAAAAUAGUUAAAAAGAUACAUUUCCGGGUUGCAGCAUUCUUGGGGUAGGAAUUAAUGAUUGAUGAUGUAGAAAUAUAAGUUUAGAGAUGGAAAGAGUGGGGUUUGUUUUGAAUAUUUGAGAAAAGAAUAAUGGAUUGGUGGGGGGAUUCGUUAGGUUUUCGGUCUACUUUUCUCAUCUUUAUAUGUAUGUCGUGUCAUCGGCAACGACACACUUUAGUAACAGUCUACAGUUGGAGUUGGGUGCGAGGACCGGCCCCCGAGUGAGGUGUUAAUGAACAAAUUACAAAAGCUUCUCCUUGGGGCCGGCAAUAAUUUGCUGAUUAGGUAAAACAGUACAACCUUGUUUAUACUAAUACUGCUUUAGUUUAAUUAGCUAUCUAAGUAAAUAAAUCAGCAAUGCUUUACUCUAAUAAAGCAAUAUAACGUGUCAUUAUUAUAGGA